ACUUACCCUCCAAUUCUGGAGACUCUGAAAAACUUGAGUGAAUUCCUUGGGACCUGGUUCAAGAUAUAACAGAAAAUUAAAAACACAACAAACAAUACCUUACUUCAUUCAAGGAAUUAUCACGAAGUGCGGUAUAAUAGACUAAAAUUACAAAUUUAAAAUUACUUGAGCAGAUAGAUUUUCCUCUUGGACCAUAAUAGACAAUACAUUAAGAAAAUUAAGAAAUAAUGUCCUCAUAAAGCACGUGUACAGAAAAAACUAACAAAUGAAAAUGCAAAAUAAUAAAAUUAUUAUUUCUAUGAUAUCAGAAAUUCAUUUUCUUGCACGUAAAACAUAGGUGCACAAAAGUCUAAGAAAUUUAUAAGCUUUGAUAAUGACUGUUAUUGCCCCAUCAAUUAUCAACAGCAUCACUGUGAUUACACAUUCCAUUCAACAAACUUUUGACAUACAGCAGAGUCCUGCAUGUAUAUGGAACUGGAGAGACUCUCAGCAGUCGUCAGAUUUUGCUACAAUGCAAUCAUUAGUAGUAGAAUGUCUCCAAUGCCAAUCAAUUUAAAUCAACACAAAAUAAUUAGUAAUUUCUUGAAUUUUUAUGAUAGAAAUAAUCUUAGUCAAUUGAAAUGUCGAACACUCAAAAUUGGGUCAACCCUUCUCAUUACAAGAUGAGGAUUUACACAGUGAAAUGCCAUAAUAUCAUCUUUAUUCACUUGAAAAUCCAUUUCGAUUUCCAUAAAAAUUAAUGUUUGCAACAUAGUAACAAUAAUAGUUCAUCUUUUCUUUCUUUUUUUCUACUUCGGAUCAAACCUCAAAGAAUAAUUUUUGCAACGAAAGAGAAUUGAACCCCCACAACCUGAAGUUAUGUGGUGGGCUCAAAAACAACUAAUAUAUUUAGCCAUUGUUUGGCCUCCACUUUUUCAAAACUCGUUUUUUCCAUAAUCAUUUUCAACAACACAUUUCAUGGGACCAUAAUUUCUAUCUACUUUUUCAAAAUCUACUAAAAAUAUGAUUUUUAGCAAAACCAAACAUAUGUUGGGACAAGGGACAAAACUGCAAUGUUAUCUGGUGGUACCCUUUCUAGUUAUCAAUCAUUUGAUAUAUUGGCGUUGCUGUAAAGAUAUUUACCCUGUUAGAAUCUAAGACUAAAUCAUUGUCAUCCUAUUGAUCUUUCCCCCAUCUUUUUGUCAUUAUCUUUAUAUACCAUAAUACUAAGUAUUGGAUUGUUAAAAAAACAAAAUGUUUACAAAAUUAAUGUUGCACACAUAGAUACGAUAAAGAUGUAUAAGACAAUACACUAUAAUGGAUUAAAUAAGUGAAGAUAUAAUUCAAAUUAGUUAACGCAAAUUAUGUAGAAAUUUAACUUAAAUGGUAAGGACGCAUUUUCCAUAUGCCAAAAGAAAG
rnacentral:lncRNA from 1 species